AAGGUGUUUUAUGAUUUAUCUAGCCUUCAGUUGAUGUGUCAACAGCUGCUCAUGUCCUUUAUUAGCCUUGCAUACACCCAACACUAUGCUUAUGUUCAUUGGUCUUGCUCUUGUGGUAUUUGUUUAGCAUGGCCAGCAACAGGAUGUUUUAUGAUUUAUCUAGGCUUUCAUUUGAAUCUCAAUCAAGAUCACAACAAAUCCAUAAGGCCCUAAGCAUUGUUCGCC
rnacentral:lncRNA from 1 species